GAGUGAAUGGAUGAAUGAGUAGAUGGAUGCUAGAUGGAUAGAUGGAUGGACAGAAGAAUGGAUGGAUUGGUGGAUAGAUGGACGGGUGGCUAGAUGGACAGACAGAUGAGUGAAUGGAAGAAUGGAUGGAUGGUAGAUGGAUAGAUGGAUGGACAGAUGAAUGAAUGGAUGGAUGGAUGUGUAGAUAGGUGGAUAGAUGGACAGACAGAUGAACCAAUGGAUGGAUGGCUGGAUGACCAGAGGAAGAAGCCUGCGCCCCAGCUCCCCUCCCUGCAGCUGCAUUUCCAUCUCAGGACAGAGCUGACUGGUUGGGUCUCCCAGAUAGAAAGUGAUGGGUCUUCUGGAUAGAAAGGCAGUGGCCUGGCUGAGGCAGGGCUGGGGAUGAUAGUAGUUGGGCUCUGGGGAGACUUUGGUGAUAGAUGGGCUCGAUGUCAGGGAAGGUGGCCUGGGAGGAGGUGGUAGGGGAUGGGCUGAGUGUUAUGGGCACAGGGGACAGAGUUCAACCAUGUGAGCCUGACUCUCUUCUGCCUCCAUCCAGGUGGGAGACUCUCUUUGGGUUUGAAAAGUCCCAGUCUGAAAUGUGCUGUUUCCCCUGUGCCCUGCCAGGGCCCAGUGUGUUGCGUUCUGGGGACACUGGGUAUUGGUGAGAAUGAAUCAGGGAGCCAUAGUCAGGGGGCUCAGUGCAGG
rnacentral:lncRNA from 10 species